rnacentral:ncRNA from 1 species
UUCAGGUGCGCGAACCGCACCCCGGACGAGGUGCACCGUACCCGGCCCCACGACAAGACGGCGCGCG